rnacentral:tRNA from 1 species
GGCCCGUUCGUCUAGCGGUCAGGACGCUGGCCUCUCACGCCGGUAACACGGGUUCGAGUCCCGUACGGGUCA